GCUUCCGCCAACAAGGACCCUAGUCUGCUGGAGCCUCCCAUCUCAGCCUGACGGCCAUGGGCACCAGGCUGCUCUGCUGGGCGGCCCUCUGUCUCCUGGGGGCAGAACACAUGGACGCUGGAGUCUCCCAGUCCCCCAGACACAGGGUCACAGGGAGGGGACAGAAUGUCACUCUCACGUGUGACCCAGAGGCUGGUCAUGCUCGUCUUUACUGGUACCAACAGAGCCAAGGGCAAGGCCUGCAGUUUAUGAUGUAUUUCCAAGGUAAAGAUCCAGUAGACGAGUCAGGGAUGCCUGGUAGCCACUUCUCCGCGGAGAGGCCUAGGGGAUCCUCCUCCACCCUGAAGAUCCAGCCUGCACAGCCCGGGGACUCAGCCGUGUACCUCUGUGCCAGCAGCUUAGACACAGCGUGGCGCCGCCACCUCCCACCUGGUCACAAACCUCAUCCUCUGUCUCCAGGCAGCUCUGAGAGACCUAAGCAGAGGGUGUGUUUGAUCUCACACCUCAAGUGA